AACCCAAAUUAAUAAAUUUCGGCGUAAAGUGUGUUUAAGUUAAUUUAUAUAAUAAAGUCAAUAUUUAACUAAACUGUAGUACGUUCUAGUUAAUAUUAAGAUAAACUAUUAAAAUGACUUUAAUAAUUCUGAUACACGACAACUAAGACACAAACUGGGAUUAGAUACCCCACUAUGCUUAGUAAUAAACUAAAAUAGUUUUAUAACAAAACUAUUCGCCAGAGAACUACUAGCAAUUGCUUAAAACUCAAAGGACUUGGCGGUGCCCUAAACCCACCUAGAGGAGCCUGUUCCAUAAUCGAUAAACCCCGAUAAACCCGACCCUGUCUUGCCAAUA
rnacentral:rRNA from 1 species